ACAACCAGGAAAUAGGCUUAGAAGCGGCCAUUUUUUGAAGAUCUCGUAACAGAGCACUGAUUUAUUUUAGGGAAAAAUUCCGAAAAUUUAACGGAUCUAAAUAAUAUACCAAAACCUUGUACACAUUUUAAUAAAUAUAUAUAUUGUAUAUGUGGGGUAGCGGA
rnacentral:ncRNA from 1 species